GACAAUUUCACUGCAAUAUGCAUCUCGGAAAGUGAGACUGCAAAUUAAAAACCUAAUAGCCAGCCACCCACUACUGUGUCUUUGCAACCCCCAAUUGUUGCUCAUCUAGUGCUUUAUAGAAUCAACAAAAUUAAAGUGAAGAAUUUUGUUAAAAUAAAAUAUUAGAUAUAUCAAAGAAGUUACCUCUUGAAUCAUGUGACAUUGCGGUUCUACAAGCAGCAUGGUCUGUCGUUGGAGAGAUCUGUGGAGUUUGGUGGAGAGGUCGCGGGAUGCCGGGAAGAGCUGGGGUCGAUGUUGCAGGUAUUGGAGGAUGAGUUGCACGCCAGUAGGUUUCUAAGUAUUCAGCGAUGUGUUCACAAGCGUCCUCGAGUUGAUUUUCGUCCAGAAUAACGUCAAACAUCUCCGGCGGACAUUGUGCCAACUUUUCAGCAGCAACCAUCUGCACGUUUAGAUGUCUUGCCUGUGACUUCCCUCGAGAUUUAAUUAAUCUCUGCAGUACCUGAGAGGAGUUGUGUGUUGGAAAUUGUGCUGGGGAGAAUGGUAUUCGUUUAGUAAUUCUUAACUGCUACAGAAACUAUUC
rnacentral:lncRNA from 1 species